AAACCAGCACCUCAAGUGGUCAGGAGGAUUAUUGGGCCUAAAGCAUCCGUAGCCUGCUCUGUAAGUUUCCGGUUAAAUCCAUUAGCUCAACUGAUGGGCCGCCGGAAAAACUGCAAAGCUAGGGAGUGGGAGAGGUAGACGGUACUCGGUAGGAAGGGGUAAAAUCCUUUGAUCUAUUGAUGACCACCUGUGGCGAAGGCGGUCUACCAGAACACGUUCGACGGUGAGGGAUGAAAGCUGGGGGAGCAAACCGGAUUAGAAACCCCGGUAGUCC
rnacentral:rRNA from 1 species